GGGUUGUGAGGUUAAGCGACUAAGCGUACACGGUGGAUGCCCUGGCAGUCAGAGGCGAUGAAGGGCGUGCUAAUCUGCGAUAAGCGCCGGUAAGGUGAUAUGAACCGUUAUAACCGGCGAUACCCGAAUGGGGAAACCCAGUGUGAUUCGUCACACUAUCAUUAACUGAAUCCAUAGGUUAAUGAGGCGAACCGGGGGAACUGAAACAUCUAAGUACCCCGAGGAAAAGAAAUCAACCGAGAUUCCCCCAGUAGCGGCGAGCGAACGGGGAGGAGCCCAGAGCCUGAAUCAGCAUGUGUGUUAGUGGAAGCGUCUGGAAAGGCGCGCGAUACAGGGUGACAGCCCCGUACACAAAAGCGUAUGUGCUGUGAGCUCGAUGAGUAGGGCGGGACACGUGGUAUCCUGUCUGAAUAUGGGGGGACCAUCCUCCAAGGC
rnacentral:rRNA from 1 species